rnacentral:rRNA from 1 species
UACGGAGGGUGCAAGCGUUAUCCGGAUUUACUGGGUUUAAAGGGUGUGUAGGCGGGCUUUUAAGUCAGUGGUGAAAUCUCCGGGCUCAACCUGGAAACUGCCAUUGAUACUAUUAGUCUUGAAUUUUGUUGAGGUAGGCGGAAUAAGUCAUGUAGCGGUGAAAUGCAUAGAUAUGACUUAGAACACCAAUUGCGAAGGCAGCUUGCUAAACAAAUAUUGACGCUGAGGCACGAAAGCUAGGGGAGCAAACAGG